UACGUAGGGGGCAAGCGUUGUCCGGAUUUAUUGGGCGUAAAGAGCGUGUAGGCGGCCAUGUAGGUCCGUUGUGAAAACUCGAGGCUCAACCUCGAGACGCCGAUGGAAACCAUGUGGCUAGAGUCCGGAAGAGGAGAGUGGAAUUCCUGGUGUAGCGGUGAAAUGCGCAGAUAUCAGGAAGAACACCCGUGGCUAAGGCGGCUCUCUAGUACGGUACUGACGCUGAGACGCGAAAGCAUGGGGAGCGAACAGG
rnacentral:rRNA from 1 species